rnacentral:rRNA from 1 species
GACGUAGAGCGCGAGCGUUGUCCGGAUUUAUUGGGCGUAAAGAGCUCGUAGGCGGCUUGUCGCGUCGACCGUGAAAACUUGUGGCUCAACCACAAGCUGGCGGUCGAUACGGGCAGGCUGGAGUUCGGUAGGGGAGACUGGAAUUCCUGGUGUAGCGGUGAAAUGCGCAGAUAUCAGGAGGAACACCAGUGGCGAAGGCGACUACCUGGCCUGUUCUUGACGCUGAGGCGCGAAAGCUAGGGGAGCAAACGGG